rnacentral:misc_RNA from 1 species
AUUACGUUAGGCUAGGUAGCCUGAUGGCGGAAAAGAAAAUUAUUAGUCUGCUUAGGAGAACAAAUAAGAAUUUUACAUAUCGAUUUUCUAAACCUUUAGGGUGCAACAGCAGAAGCACAGCAAAAUUCUGUACAGUGUUGGCAUUGAAUUACUCCAAUAGAUGGCACCAAAGUCAGCAUUUGUCAAAGAAUGGCAUUGUUUGUCAGCAUACCGUGUUGAAGCGAAAUUUUUUUCAGUUACCAAACCCUUUUGGUGGAACUACUAAACGCAAGGAAUAUUCGGAACGAAGGUUAUUAGGAUAUUCCAUGGAUCAGAUGUACGAGAUUGUAGCAGAUGUGGGUAGUUAUAAAGAAUUUGUUCCAUGGUGUACACGAUCCUCAGUAACAAAGAAGCGACAAGGACAUUUGUUGGCACAAAUGGAGAUAGGAUUUUCACCACUGGUAGAACGUUAUACCUCCUCGGUGACUUUAGCAAAGCCUCAUUUAGUGAAAGCUUGCUGUACAGAAGGUAAACUCUUUAACCAUUUAGAAACUGUCUGGAGAUUUAGUACUGGCCUGCCCGAAAACCCAAAGACUUGUACAUUGCACUUUAAUUUUUAUUACUGUACUUUGGACCCUCUCUGGCAUUAAAAGCAAUAAGUCAUAAAAGGAGAGCUUAGUGUGGACAAACAGUCAAGUUAAGCACACAACUAGAGAACUGUAUCAUUUGAAUUUCGUUCCCUCCUGCACUCUCAUCUAUCUCACAUGUUCUUUGAUGAAGUGGUUCGUCAAAUGGUAAAUGCUUUCCUGCAGAGGGCUGAAUGUCUUUAUGGAAAACA